GAACUACUUGCCCAUUGUUCACACAGCUCAUGGGUUAACAAGAGGUAAGAAGGCAUCGGUCGCUACGUUUCGGAAAGAACAGCUUCACUUCAUCUGAGUCUCUGUGUUUCUGCACCAGGGGGAAAGAAUUGCAAACGUCUUGGCUGCAGGCUCACUUCACACUACAUAAAAACCUCAGCUAUAUCCAAGCAGCAAGCAUUCCAAAAGGAACCUGCCAUUCUCACCAUCUUAAAUCUCUUCAAAAAUAGCGUACUUAUUUUGUUCAAG
rnacentral:lncRNA from 1 species